rnacentral:rRNA from 1 species
CAUUUGUUCUCUAAAUAAGGACUUGUAUGAACGGCCACACGAGGGUUUUACUGUCUCUUACUUCUAAUCAGUGAAAUUGACCUCCCCGUGAAGAGGCGGGGAUAAGCAAACAAGACGAGAAGACCCUAUGGAGCUUUAACUAACUAGCCCAAAGAGAAUGAAACUUAACCACCAAGGGACAACAACACUACUUAUGGGUUAGCAGUUUCGGUUGGGGUGACCUCGGAGAAUAAAAAAUCCUCCGAGCGAUUUUAAAGACUAGACCUACAAGUCAAAUUAAAUUAUCGAUUAUUGAUCCAAAAACUUGAUCAACGGAAUAAGUUACCCUAGGGAUAACAGCGCA